rnacentral:rRNA from 1 species
GACUACUCGGGUAUCUAAUCCUGUUCGCUCCCCACGCUUUCGUGCCUCAGCGUCAGUAUUGGUCCAGUAAGCUGCCUUCGCAAUUGGUGUUCUGUGUAAUAUCUAAGCAUUUCACCGCUACAUUACACAUUCCGCCUACCUUGACCGUACUCAAGACUGACAGUAUCAAUGGCAAUUCUCCAGUUAAGCUGAAGGUUUUCACCGCUGACUUAUCAAUCCGCCUACGCACCCUUUAAACCCAAUAAAUCCGGAUAACGCUCGCAUCCUCCGUAUUACCGCGGCUGCUGGCACGGAGUUAGCCGAUGCUUAUUCCCAAGGUACCGGCAAGCUUCGACACGUCGAAGGUUUUCUUCCCCUGGAAAAGCAGUUUACAACGCAUAGCGCCGUCUUCCUGCACGCGGGAUGGCUGGUUCAGGCUUGCGCCCAUUGACCAAUAUUCCUCACUGCUGCCCCCCGUAGG